ensembl:lncRNA
AAGUAUUCAAUGAAUCAAGGGGACAUUCAGUUGAGAGGCAGAACUAUCUUGAUGACCUGAGGACGGGGCCCAAGAGAAGGUGAGCUCUUCUGCAUGCCUUCAGAAUCCUGUAAAGCACAUUCGAUCAUAUUUGAUACUGAUUUUCUAAGGCCUCUAAAUUAUCAGCAUGAUCAAAACUUCUGAAAAACCUAUUGUACACAAUCUACUACAAGCCUGCUGUCAUCUGAUUGAUAGUUUAUACCUUUUUAGCAAGUAAAAAGCCUUUUAGUAUGAUUGUGAACAUAUUUAGGUUGUUAAGUUUUUUGCUGAUUUUUGAAAAGGGGACAUAAUAAUAACUUUUAUAUUGUUAGUAAUAUUCAAGAUAAACAUUUACUGAACAUGUUUUGCCUCCCACAAUAUAAACUACAGUGUUUUGGUCAUAAAACUAAACAUUUAAAACAUUUAUCAUCUUACUUAAGCAUUUUGAGCGAUAUAGAGUGACAAAUGAUAUUUAUAUGCAUUUUAUGUGAAUAGCCUGUUAUACUGUUAUAAAGAUCUCAUUGAGUUACAUUACACACCAUCAGAAUUUCAUCUUUCGGACCAUAUAAAUAUCAGCAACUUUCCUCAGUUCGGGCCUCUGUGUAAAAUUUAAUUGUUUUUUUCCCUCCUCAUUAUAGCUCCAUGUUCUCACUAUAUCUAUAAAUUUAAAAAACAAUAGAAUUAUAUUUAUUUAUUUAUUUAUUUUUGGACUUUUAUUUUAUAUGGCAGGCUUUACAGUGUUAAUCAUGCAAUUUUUCAUGCAGUAAUGAGGGAAUGGAGGAACCAGACAAAGAACCUGCUCAGGGACUUGCAAACGAACCACGAGAUGAUGCUCCUCAUCAUCGAAGGAAACAACAUAACCAUGAUCCUGCUUUUAAUGGACAUGAACUUCACCAAUGGCACAGGGAACCCCAGAAUCAGUUUCGACCGUUUCACCAGAAGAACAACAUGACUUGGUUCAAACCACCUGAGCGCCAGUUCUACCGUCCGCGCUUGAUUCCUCAUCCACCGCAGGGCGUGAGACCCCGUUUUCCCAACCAGAGCGUCAGAGGAUUCCACUUCGGACAUUAUCCACAUCCGCUUCCCUCCGACAGGUUUGGCCAACCAUACCACAAUCCACACGUGCCUCACGAGGGAUUCACGAGACCUCCAGGGCCUCACAGAAAACUUCGACAGAGACACAGGAAAGGUCCGAAUGAUAGGACUCCUCGCUGAAAUGAAGAAGCUACACCUGUUCAACCCAAACUGCUGGACUGUGCUUUUCUGAACACAAGCUGCUAGUCCGAUUGUGCAGGAACUCUUCUUUUUCUUUGACGGAGUAAAUGGAUUUGGUCUCCUAAAGAGGUUGACUGUUUUAUUAGACUCUACUUGCUAACAUUAAUACUACUACAUUCUGUGAUGGUUAUCUGUUAUUAGGUCAUGUAAUCCAGCAAAUGUAAUUCACACAGUUCAUCUAUAACUGCUGCUAAUCUAUCAUGCCUUACGUUUGAAAUGAAGUGAAAUAUUAAACACCUUUGGAAGUGCAAUUACAGUUGUUUUAUUAUUUCCUUAUAUUUUACACAUUUUGUAUUUCUUUUUUAUCGUACACAAUAUGAUAUCAAUGAGGAGCAGAUUAUUUGUGAUGUUUUUCCUGCUUAAAAUUGGACACUAUUACAGUAUCA